GUUCCUGAUCGAAGGUGAUUUCAUACAUUUGAACCAUCUCCAGAUUUAGUGCCCUGUGUGUUGGUUCCAUGGUGAAAUCACCCAAUCCUUGGGGUGUUUACAUUGAGGUUUUUGGAUGCAGGUUACACAUGGUUUCGGUACCUCAUUAGCAGCUGCUGUCCCAUUUUUCUAUGUUCAGUAAAGAGCUCUGGACAUCUAUUAAACCAAGGGUUGCUCCAGGCAAGGUUCCAUACCCAGAGCACAUUUUGAUAAGUUUAUGGGACAUAAUUAUUUACCUGGAAUUUAUUGAGAUCAAGGCAGCGAAAUAUUCCUUUCAUGUUGUGGACCAUCGUUUCGUGGCUUGGCAGAUGAAAUAGACAAAAAAUACAGAGAUUCAUCCCGUGAGUGGAAGUAAGCUGCGCUAUACUUACAAGAUUAGGCCGUUCUAUAGUAUACCGAGUAACUUCAAUGGCUAGACUUACCUUGCAGGGAAAUAGCUACAGCGUCUUUUUGGAGUGAAACUGCUGAAGCUUUUGAUGCAGACAAACUCGAUACAGAUUAGUUGCAGGGUCUUGUGGUUGCUCUGUUAUAGGCUGCACAUAUAGAAACAAGAUUGUAAUAUUAGCUCCCUUUAAUUGUCUUUUUCUGGACAAGCUUUUCCGUCAUGGUGAUACAUCUCUUAUACUAACAGUCAUGGAGGGAUCUGAUCUGGUCAAGAUCUC